rnacentral:rRNA from 1 species
GCGGAGGAACAUGUGGUUUAAUUCGAUGAUACGCGAGGAACCUUACCUGGGCUAGAACGCAUUCGGAAUCAGGCCGAAAGGCCUGCGCCAGCGAUGGCCGCUUGCGAGGUGCUGCAUGGUUGUCGUCAGCUCGUGCCGUGAGGUGUCGGGUUAAGUCCCAUAACGAGCGCAACCCCUACUGCUAGUUGCCAGCGGGUCAUGCCGGGGACUCUAGCGGAACUGCCAGCGUAAGCUGCGAGGAAGGUGGGGAUGACGUCAAAUCAGCACGGCCCUUACGUCCAGGGCUACACACGUGUUACAAUGGCCGGUACAGAGGGCAGCCACCCCGCGAGGGGGCGCGAAUCCGAAAGCCGGUCCCAGUUCGGAUUGAAGUCUGCAACUCGACUUCAUGAAGCUGGAAUCGCUAGUAAUCGUGGAUCAGCCAAGCCGCGGUGAAUACGUUCCCGGGCCUU